rnacentral:rRNA from 1 species
UACGUAGGGUGCAAGCGUUGUCCGGAAUUACUGGGCGUAAAGCGCGUGUAGGCGGCUAAGUGUGUCGGGCGUGAAAUCCCACGGCUCAACCGUGGAAGUGCACCCGAAACUACGUAGCUAGAGUCCUGGAGAGGAAGGUGGAAUGCUUGGUGUAGAGGUGAAAUUCGUAGAUAUCAAGCGGAACACCGGUGGCGAAGGCGGCCUUCUGGACAGUGACUGACGCUGAGACGCGAAAGCGUGGGGAGCAAACAGG